rnacentral:rRNA from 1 species
CCUACGGGAGGCAGCAGUGGGGAAUAUUGGACAAUGGGGGGAACCCUGAUCCAGCCAUGCCGCGUGUGUGAAGAAGGCCCUCGGGUUGUAAAGCACUUUCAGUGAGGAAGAACGCCUGGUGGUUAAUACCCAUCAGGAAAGACAUCACUCACAGAAGAAGCACCGGCUAACUCCGUGCCAGCAGCCGCGGUAAUACGGAGGGUGCGAGCGUUAAUCGGAAUUACUGGGCGUAAAGCGCGCGUAGUUGGCUUGAUAAGCCGGUUGUGAAAGCCCCGGGCUCAACCUGGGAACGGCAUCCGGAACUGUCAAGCUAGAGUGCAGGAGAGGAAGGUAGAAUUCCCGGUGUAGCGGUGAAAUGCGUAGAGAUCGGGAGGAAUACCAGUGGCGAAGGCGGCCUUCUGGACUGACACUGACACUGAGGUGCGAAAGCGUGGGUAGCAAACAGGAUUAGAUACCCUGGUAGUC